UGGCAGGGGAUAAGAUCAAGAGGACCGUUUGCUCCUUCAGACCAAUGACACUUAAGUGAGAAAGAGGUAUCUUGCAAGAUAUCGAGUAUCAUCACUGUGAUAUUUAUGCCACAACUACUGAGGUGUCCUUGAAAAAGCGCUCGAUACCAUUCCACAAGAUCACAACAUCGACCGGGAGGCAGAACGGUGUCAUCAUUUUCACUGUCUGUAUUCAUAACAAGCUGAAGAAGGCAAGAAGAUACCUGUAGGACAAGGACAAUCACCAGCGUAGUACAGACAACAGAUGGUAAAAAAGGCUUCAUUAUGACUUUAGUUAAGCUGAUUCACGUUGUUGGUGAUACAUGUACCAAGCUUUUCGAUGAGACCGCAGUUGGUACUCAAAACGACUGAAGAAUAUCUCUAAGAAGCGAUGUGAGGUUCGAAUUGUGGCAAACAGUCGAGACAGAAGAUAAGAUUAGGAGGCCUUCCGUCCGUCUACGCCAAUGACACUGCUGCGAAAAAAGGGACCUUGCAAACCCGCGGGUGGCUCAAGUGUAGAGGGGAUCUUAAUGAUGGCAAAUGGUGGAUGUGAUUGACUUCACGUGUCAGUAACUUCGUCCACGGGCCCGGUGUAUCUCCUGGAAUAAUUGACCUGCCGUGUAGAGCCGUUACUGCACUGACGGAGCAGCAGUGCGAAGCCACCAGAUCUGAAUGCCUGGGGAGUCCCAAAGACUGGAAACGCUUCAUUCGUUGGAAUAC